UCUGGGACAGAAAAAGAACAUUACGUAAAAUUAAGGAAAUCUGAAUAAAGAACCACCCAUGGCCCACUCCAUGCCCUCAUCUUGUGCCCGUGAAAACUGCAGGCUCAGCCAGCAAAGGCAGGAGAAGCAGCUGGACAUCAGAGAGAAGUGCCUUACUUCAGAGGGACAGCUCGACGGUGUAAAUUUCAAGAAGAAUCCCAGGAGACAGCUGGACUUUGAGGGAAGAUUACCUUCCUUCUCUGUCUGCUUUUCAGCUCCUCUUCCCUCUGAGAGCCACGUCCAACAGCAAUAAAAUCCCCCACAUUUACC
rnacentral:lncRNA from 10 species